AUAUAUGUGGUACAGGAUUAGAUACCCCAUUAAUAUAGUUUUUAAAUUUUCUUAGUUUUUAACUAAAAUAGUUUGGCAGUGAGUGAAUCCUAUUAGGGGAAGGUGUGUAGUAAAGGACGUUCCGCCAAUAAAUUUACUUUUAUUAUGUUGGUGUAUAUCUGGUUUGAUAUUAUUGCUUUAAUAGCUUAAUUUGUGUAGAUGAAAAUUUAAGCCAAGUCUAUGUGCUGCUUGUAAAAGUUUUCAUGCGUUACAUUUAUAAUCAUUGAAAUUUAGUAUUAGAAAAUUGAUUAAGGACUUAAAAGUAAUAUAGAAUAAAGUUGUCUAUGUGAAAAGGGUUUAACUCAGGUACACACCGCCCGUCACCCCU
rnacentral:rRNA from 1 species